rnacentral:rRNA from 1 species
UGGGGAAUCUUGGACAAUGGGGGCAACCCUGAUCCAGCCAUGCCGCGUGAGUGAUGAAGGCCUUAGGGUCGUAAAGCUCUUUCGCCUGUGAAGAUAAUGACGGUAGCAGGUAAAGAAACCCCGGCUAACUCCGUGCCAGCAGCCGCGGUAAUACGGAGGGGGUUAGCGUUGUUCGGAAUUACUGGGCGUAAAGCGCACGUAGGCGGACCAGAAAGUUGGGGGUGAAAUCCCGGGGGCUCAACCCCGGGAACUGCCUCCAAAACUAUUGGUCUAGAGUUCGAGAGAGGUGAGUGGAAUUCCAAGUGUAGAGGUGAAAUUCGUAGAUAUUUGGAGGAACACCAGUGGCGAAGGCGGCUCACUGGCUCGAUACUGACGCUGAGGUGCGAAAGUGUGGGGAGCAAACAGGAUUAGAUACCCUGGUAGUCCACACCGUAAAACGAUGAAUGCCAGUCGUCGGGUAGCAUGCUAUUCGGUGACACACCUAACGGAUUAAGCAUUUCCCGGCCUGGGGAGUACGGUCGCAAGAUUAAAA